rnacentral:rRNA from 1 species
AUCAUUUAAAGAAAGCGUAAUAGCUCACUGGUCGAGUCGGCCUGCGCGGAAGAUGUAACGGGGCUAAACCAUGCACCGAAGCUGCGGCAGCGACGCUUAUGCGUUGUUGGGUAGGGGAGCGUUCUGUAAGCCGUCGAAGGUGUGCUGUGAGGCAUGCUGGAGGUAUCAGAAGUGCGAAUGCUGACAUAAGUAACGAUAAAGCGGGUGAAAAGCCCGCUCGCCGGAAGACCAAGGGUUCCUGUUCAACGUUAAUCGGAGCAGGGUGAGUCGACCCCUAAGGCGAGGCCGAAAGGCGUAGUCGAUGGGAAACAGGUUAAUAUUCCUGUACUCGGUGUUACUGCGAAGGGGGGACGGAGAAGGCUAUAUCAGCCGGGCGACGGUUGUCCCGGUUUAAGCGUGUAGGCGGAGUGUCCAGGUAAAUCCGGACGCUUGUUAACGCUGAGGCGUGACGACGAGGCACUACGGUGCUGAAGUGAUAAAUGCCCAGCUUCCAGGAAAAGCCUCUAAGCAUCAGGUAACACAGAAU